rnacentral:rRNA from 1 species
UACGUAGGGUGCGAGCGUUUAAUCGGAAUUACUGGGCGUAAAGCGUGCGCAGGCGGUUUUGUAAGCCAGAUGUGAAAGCCCCGGGCUUAACCUGGGAAUGGCAUUUGGGACUGCAAGGCUUGAGUGCGGCAGAGGAGACUGGAAUUCCCGGUGUAGCAGUGAAAUGCGUAGAUAUCGGGAGGAAUACCGAUGGCGAAGGCAGGUCUCUGGGCUGACACUGACGCUCAUGCACGAAAGGCGUGGGGAGCAAACAGG